CAUUAUAGUAACAACAGAUUGUCGCUGGCUAGGUGAUUCUAGCAUGUGCACGUCUACCUAAAUUUCACACCUGUGCACCUAUUGUAGAUCUUUACUGAUCUAUGUUUAACCUCACACAACAAACAUUGUAUGGCAUUAGAAUGUAUUUUAAAGUUAUUACAACUUUCAGCAAUGGAUCUCUUGGCUCUUGCAUCGAUGAAGAACGCAGCGAAUUGCGAUAAGUAAUGUGAAUUGCAGAUUUUCAGUGAAUCAUCGAAUCUUUGAACGCACCUUGCGCUCUUCGGUAUUCCGAAGAGCAUGCCUGUUUGAGUGUCAUUUUAUUAUCAACCUAAUAUUCAUUUAUUAGGCUUGGACUUGGGAUUUGCUGGCUUCGAGUAGUCAGCUAUCCUUGAAUGUAUUAGCAAGUGAAAUCUUGACGUGCACGGCCUCUGACGUGAUAAUGAUCGUCGGUGGGCUGGAAGCGUUAUCAGGAAGCUUGCUUCUAAAGCAAAGUAUUGGCAUGCACGGCCUUUUACAGGGCUGGAAGUGUUAAUCACUACUACACUUUGACCUCAAAUCAGGUAGGACUACCCGCUGAACUUAAGCAUAU
rnacentral:misc_RNA from 1 species